GCUAUCCAUCGGGAAAAAAUCUGGACACGCCCACUCCGCCCACUCUCCUUCCCUCUCAGUUCAGCUGACCUUAUCUCUUCUAUCUUCUAUUUGUCUCCCCACCGCUGCCGUCCAUGGUCCUCCCGUCGAUUACGGCGAUGGAGUCCCUGGGCGUGCUGCUGCUGCACCCCAUGAACGGCUACCUGGAGCAGGAGCUGGACCGCGUCUUCCGCUUCUGGGACUCCCCUCCAGACGGGGGGGCCGAGUUCCUCCGUGCGGUCGUCGGCAACGCCGGAUACAACGCCGACGCCGCGCUGCCGUCCCUCGAGAACAUUGCGUCCUCCGUGGGGAUCGACCGCGUCGACCUCACCAAGUGCCGCGAGCGCGGGAUCCAUGCUCACUGACAUGCUCACCGACGCCGUCGGCCUCGUCAUCUCCGCGGUAAGGAAGAUCACGCAUGGUGACCGCUAUGUGCGCGCCGGCUUGUGGAAGGCCAAGAGGGACUACACGGUACACACUCACCACGCGGGUUAACAUGAUGCAUGAGUAGUCUCGUGACGAAGACCUUUAACUAUGAUGUCAUCUACUCUCAUUUGUGACAUUGGAAAUUGUUUGCGUUUCGUGACCAAGAGGAUACAGGCUCAAGAUUUUUGGUUUUCAUUGAUGUCAAGCAGGAUGGUGCGGUUAGUAGAUUGACUGUAUCAUAAAUUCUGCUCACCUUAGGCCUUCAGGGACUUGCCGAUAGCGAGGAGGCAACGACGGAGGAACGGCUGCCCACGGUACGGUGCGGUGCAGGGCGGCGAGGGCGUCGUUCCGGAAGCAGACGAUGUUGGCCCAGGGCGAGGGGAUCUGUAGGGCGGCGAGGUCGGGGCGACGGUGCUAUGAUGCAGUGAUGGGAUAAUUGUUUCCUUCCUGAUGAUGCGUGAUUCCAGGUGUUCCCUCCCAGCAUGGUAUGGUGUAGCGAUGGGAAGUUAUUUGUUUCCCUGCGUGUGAUUGAUGAUUGGGAGGGAUGUGGAGGUGAUUUCCUCUGCGGUGGAACAGUCCGUUCGUGUGUAAAUUAUUAAGUGCACCCCAAUCAACAGAUGAGGUUAAGGUUGACCAUUAGAUUGAUUUUAGUGGGCCUACUCGUAGGGUGGUAAUAGGUCUGUGUACGUUUAAUGGGGUGCGUGAAGAGAAGAUAAUGUUUACUC